rnacentral:snRNA from 1 species
AUACUUACUUGACGCGAGAGGCACCUUGAUCAACUAGGAGGUCCUCUCAGGAUGAGGCCCUUUCAUUGCACUUCGACUGGGUUGACUCCUGCGAUUACCCCUAAUGUUGGUAACUCGAGCGUAUAAUUUCUGGUAGUGGGGACCUGCGUUCGCGCUCGUCCCCU